rfam:Schistosoma rodhaini strain Burundi genome assembly, scaffold: SROB_scaffold0002338
GCACUGCUGAGGAGUCCCAUAAAAGAACGAAACAGCCGUCCAGUGC